rnacentral:rRNA from 1 species
UGGGGAAUAUUGGACAAUGGAGGAAACUCUGAUCCAGCAAUUCUGUGUGUGUGAAGAAGGUUUUAGGACUGUAAAACACUUUUAGUAGGGAAGAAAAAAAUGACGGUACCUACAGAAGAAGCAACGGCUAAAUACGUGCCAGCAGCCGCGGUAAUACGUAUGUUGCGAGCGUUAUACGGAAUUAUUGGGCUUAAAGGGCAUCUAGGCGGUAAGACAAGUUGAAGGUGAAAACCUGUGGCUCAACCAUAGGCUUGCCUACAAAACUGUUGAACUAGAGUACUGGAAAGGUGGGUGGAACUACACGAGUAGAGGUGAAAUUCGUAGAUAUGUGUAGGAAUGCCGAUGAUGAAGAUAACUCACUGGACAGAAACUGACGCUGAAGUGCGAAAGCUAGGGGAGCAAACAGG